rnacentral:lncRNA from 1 species
CCGUAUGCAAGGUGACCUCAGUGUGACCCAUCUCGUAAAAAUCCGGUGACCACAAUACGCAUGGAUGUCCUUAAAAUAAACUAUUAUCUGAAUUUACAAGUUAAACACGUGCUCAAUUUCCAUGCUUUUUUGUUUAUUUUUCGUCAAUUGUUGACAAACAGGUGACAAUCGUUAAACUUCGGCUUCAAAACACGAACUUUAAUUACCUGCCAUAUUUUCACAACACUGACCGAUUGAGAAAAAAAAUUGACAAUUAUACGAAAUUUACACGAAAAAAAUGAUAAAUUCGAGCACAGAAGACGAAGUUUAGGAUGUUUGUAUGCAUUAGUUCAAGAAUUGGAAGAACAUUAUUUUUCACCGGUCACUCGUUUCUUAUGACUUUAAGUGAAU